UGGGGAAUAUUGCACAAUGGGGGAAACACUGAUGCAGCGACGCCGCGUGAGCGAAGAAGGUUUUCGAAUCGUAAAGCUCUGUCCUAUGAGAAGAUAAUGACGGUAUCAUAGGAGGAAGCCCCGGCUAAAUACGUGCCAGCAGCCGCGGUAAUACGUAUGGGGCGAGCGUUGUCCGGAAUUAUUGGGCGUAAAGGGUACGUAGGCGGUCUAUUAAGUCAGGUGUGAAAGCGUGAGGCUUAACCUCAUUAAGCACUUGAAACUGAUAGACUUGAGUGAAGGAGAGGAAAGUGGAAUUCCUAGUGUAGCGGUGAAAUGCGUAGAUAUUAGGAGGAAUACCGGUGGCGAAGGCGACUUUCUGGACUUUUACUGACGCUCAGGUACGAAAGCGUGGGGAGCAAACAGG
rnacentral:rRNA from 1 species